rnacentral:tRNA from 1 species
CGUUGUAGCUCAAUCCGGCAGAGCAACUGAAUCGUAAUCAGUAGGUUGGGGGUUCAAUUCCCUUCGACGG